AUUGAACGCUGGCGGCAGGCCUAACACAUGCAAGUCGAGCGGCAGCGGAAAGUAGCUUGCUACUUUGCCGGCGAGCGGCGGACGGGUGAGUAAUGUCUGGGGAUCUGCCUGAUGGAGGGGGAUAACUACUGGAAACGGUAGCUAAUACCGCAUAACGUCGCAAGACCAAAGUGGGGGACCUUCGGGCCUCACGCCAUCGGAUGAACCCAGAUGGGAUUAGCUAGUAGGUGGGGUAAUGGCUCACCUAGGCGACGAUCCCUAGCUGGUCUGAGGGGGUGACCAGCCACACUGGGACUGAGACAGGGCCCAGACUCCUACGGGAGGCAGCAGUGGGGAAUAUUGCACAAUGGGCGCAAGCCUGAUGCAGCCAUGCCGCGUGUGUGAAGAAGGCCUUCGGGUUGUAAAGCACUUUCAGCGAGGAGGAAGGGUGGUGUGUUAAUAGCACACGACAUUGACGUUACUCGCAGAAGAAGCACCGGCUAACUCCGUGCCAGCCGCCGCGGUAA
rnacentral:rRNA from 1 species